UGAGUGAAAAGUCAGGAAAAUGAUGUUUCUAAGCUCCAAGCCAUCCAGAGUGCCUUAGUUACGCAUAUGCGAAGGGGGUCUAGAAAUAUUUAGCUGAAAGCAGAUAAAAGCUCGGAGCAGGCAAAAACGAUGCUGUCACUAAAAUUUGAGUGAAAGGUCAGGAAAAUGAUGUUUCUAAGCUCCAAUCCAUCCAGAGUGCCUUAGUUACGCAUAUGCGAAGGGGGUCUAGAAAUAUUUAGCUGAAAGCAGAUAAAAGCUCGGAGCAGGCAAAAACGAUGCUGUCACUAAAAUUUGAGUGAAAGGUCAGGAAAAUGAUGUUUCUAAGCUCCAAGCCAUCCAGAGUGCCUUAGUUACGCAUAUGCGAAGGGGGUCUAGAAAUAUUUAGCUGAAAGCAGAUAAAAGCUCGGAGCAGGCA